GUCCCUGCUGGUCGGUCCGCCUUAUUGGUGUGUACUUACUCAGUGGGGACUUACCUCCUGGUGAGCUGGCAUGCCCUUUACUGGGUGUGUCAGGGAACCUGGACGUUUACUUUGAAAAAAUUAGAGUGUUCAAAACAGGCAUUAUUGCUUGAAUACAUUAGCAUGGAAUAACGGAAUAGG
rnacentral:rRNA from 1 species